GACGAACGCUGGCGGCGUGCCUAAUACAUGCAAGUCGAACGAACCGCGACUAAGUGCUUGCACUAAGUCAAGGUGAGUGGCGAACGGGUGAGUAACACGUGGGUAACCUACCUCAUAGUGGGGGAUAACAGUCGGAAACGACUGCUAAUACCGCAUAGGACAUAGGAUCACAUGAUCCAGUGAGGAAAGGUGGCGCAAGCUAUCGCUAAGAGAUGGACCCGCGGUGCAUUAGCUAGUUGGUAGGGUAAAGGCCUACCAAGGCGAUGAUGCAUAGCCGACCUGAGAGGGUGAUCGGCCACAUUGGGACUGAGACACGGCCCAAACUCCUACGGAAGGCAGCAGUAGGGAAUCUUCCGCAAUGGACGCAAGUCUGACGGAGCAACGCCGCGUGAGUGAAGAAGGUCUUCGGAUCGUAAAGCUCUGUUGUUAGAGAAGAACCGCGCAUAGAGUAAAUGCUAUGUGUGUGACGGUAUCUAACCAGAAAGCCACGGCUAACUACGUG
rnacentral:rRNA from 1 species